rnacentral:tRNA from 1 species
GGAGGUCAGAAUAAAUACAAUAAUGAUGAAUGAAAAAAG